CAUUCUCUUGAUGACAAACAUAUGCAUAAGAGAUAUGCCAUCAUUUUUCCUGGAAGUAAAAUUCCAAAAUGGUUUAGGCAUCAAAGUAUAGGGGCUGAAGUGAAUAUAAAAGAACCUUUUUCUCAUUUGUGUAAUGAGUGGAUGGGGAUUGCUGUCUGCGUUGUAUUUUGUUCUCAUCCACGUCACCAAAUCCCCAAUGGUGAUUCGCUUUCCUGUUGGUUGGUAGCUAAUGGAAAAAAAAUGUCUUCUGCACCAAACACUGGCCAUAUUGUUGUUUUAUCAGAUCAUAUUUGGCUACUUUAUUUGCUUCCUCAAUACUACCAAGAGAAACAAAUAAAAUUAUUGUCGGAAUGUGAUGCAAAUGGAUUCAUUCGGGUUGGAAUUAGAAUUAUGACUCAUUGUUCAGUCUUUGAGGUGAAGAGAUGCGGGUUCCGUAUGGUGUAUAAGAAAGACAUUGAAGAUGUCAAUCGAAGUAUGGCUCAUGGCUCAGUGUAGCAACAAUAGCACCAUUCCUUAUAAGGGUUUGGAUGUCAAGCGAACCUGUGCUGGCUAUGAUGGGGCUGGACCUAAUGGAGAAGGAAGCUCUAGUAUCACACCCAAAAUGGAUUGUUAGGAGUCAAUUGAGUACAGAGACUGUGGUGAGGAGUUAAGCGAUUGGGAGGAAUCUAGUGAAAGUGACCGGGAAGGUUAAUCAACUUUUUUCUCUACAUUACCUUGUUAGGUUAACAUCUUAACACCUCAUCAUCCCAUGUGAUGCUUGUGUUGAGGCAUAGGUGAGACUGAGACCUUUUUUUUCUGAGAAACCAGACAAGAAGUCUGGGCUAAUAUUAAUAAAGCAUGUUCAAUGGGCAUCAAAUAGCAAAAGAGAGGUAAUAUCCUCAGGUGGAUCAACAAGCCACACCUGGGACCCCAACCGAUUUUAGCUUUUUUUGCUAAAGCAUCAGCAACACAGUUACAAGAACGAUUAACAUGGUUGAACACACAGGACUGAAAAAGCACGGCUUGACAGCGUAUGUCUUCAAUGACGUUUCCAUAGGUUGAGAAUCCAGCAUUACCUUGGUUUAUAGCAUUGAUAACCAUAGUUGAAUCCCCCUCAAAAACAACUGUUUGAAGCCCAAACUCAGCUGCCAAAGCCUCCAUAUCAGCGAUGGAGUGAGCCACAGCGCACCAACAAGUUCACCCCUCCAAUCUCAAACAAUAACUCCAAUUCCAGCCGAGUUUGUGGUUCUGAAUACAGCAGCAUCAAAGUUCACUUUGUACUGAUUCAGCUCAGGUGGACGCUACUGGUGCGAGAUGGUAGGGAGAGGUUUCACUGGUUCCUUGUCUUCUGCUAUCAAAAACUCCUGCAGCAUGUUACCAGCCAUAGAGACGAUGUUUGCAAUAGGGUGCACUGGACGGCCAAAGUGAGAUGCGUUUCUCCUAUUCCAUAAUAGCCAGGCCGAUAUAGCAAAUACCUCUUUUCGAUAAUCAUCCUGCACCUACAAAAACCGAGCAAGUAAGUUGCAAAAAUUCAGGGUUGGGGAUGGCUCAACUGAUGCAAGCAAUUGAGUGAACUCCACACGAUCUCCACUUCCUUGCAAGACCAGAAAGCAUGCAAUAGCAUCAUUCCUUAUUAAGGAUUUGGAUGUUCUCCAUCAUAAUUUUGGCAAUGCCAAGCAGACCCGUGAUUACUAUGAUAGGGCUGGACCUAAUGGAGAAGGAAACUCUAAUGAUGUACAGCAGCCAAAACAGAUUGUGAGGAGUCAAGCGAUUGGGAGGAAUCUAGUGAAAGUGACCAGGAAGGUUAAUCAACUUUUUUCUCUUCAUUACAUGCAAACAACAAUGUAGAAAAGAUUGAAGAAUGGAGAAGGUAGUCUGCUUAGAUUUGUAAGCCCUGCCCUACUUGUUAUGUUGUUUUAAUCCAUUUUGUCUUUAAUUUAUGCUUUGUUGCAUUUUCCUUGUCAUUUUGUCAUUUUAGCCUAAUAUAUUACAUUUCGUCGUGAAUUGAUAAUACACCUUUAUAAACAUCCAAGUAUGUACAUUAGGUAGAUUCUCUAAAAGUUGUGGCAGAUCUGAUAAUCAAAGAUACUUGAAGGUGGAAUUCUGAAUUAGUCACUCAUGGUCAAAAUGAUGCUGAGAGAAUUUUACAAAUUCCUGAUUGUGUUGCUGAUAAGUUCAUAAGACCUCAUUCCAAAUCUAGGGCUUAUUUGGUUGAAAUAGGAUAAUGGCUGUUGCAUACCAGGAAUUAUAGAAACAAAGCUGCCAGGUCUUUUAGUGAUCUUACUGGCACAACCUUAAGGGGAGGCCCUGAGCAUUGGAACCUGUUAUGUAGGUUACAAUUACCUUUUAAAAUGAUGGUCAUUCAUUGGAGGAUUUUAUUGGAUUUUCUUCUUGUGAUGGCAGUAUUGUGAAGACAUCUGAGGACUUAUAUCCUUUGUGUCAAAGAUACUAAAAGCUUAGACCAUAUGUUUUUUUUCUUUGUCAUCCAGAGAUAUCUAAUUUGUUUUGAUCUAUCCGUUAGAACUGAUUUCAUUCAGUCUUACUUGAUUCAGGCAUGGAUAAAGGGAAUCAGGGUCAAUUUAGAAAAGUUAAAGUACUUCACGUUGUGUUUUGUCUCUAUUUUAUGGUCUAUUUGGACUUAUAGGAACAAGGAAACUUUGAAGAAAGAACCUUUCUCUGCCACUAGUGUGGUCUUGUAUUGUAAAAGUUUGGUUUCAAUGUGCAAGGUGACUAACAAUUUAAAAAACAAUGAAAGGCCUUGACAGCAGCAGGAUAAGCAAAUCCAGACCUUUAGAGAGUGCUCCAACUGGAAACCAAUCCUGUUGUAGGAGAGCUGAAAGGGUAGGAAAAGGAAAUAGAGGGGAUCCAGUUUAUUUUGUAAAAGUAGAGAUGGUGCAUUCGAUGGCUGGUUGUUUCAGCUGGGCUGUAAAAGAUUCUAUGAGAGCAGCUAUUUUUUGGCUUUUUGUGAAGGAUUGUUGAAGCUUCAGGCUUUGUGAGUUCUCUCUGUUAGUAUUCUUAGAAGUAACAAAGAGGCAGCAGAGUUAGCUAAUAGAGAGGCUGUGGUGAAGCCGUGAAAGACAUUCAGCAGUUUACAAAUGUUUGGGUUUGACAGGUCAACAGAUGUCCUGGCAGAGGCUUGAUCUCUAGCAACCAUUGCUUCUAAGUUCUUUAUGAACAUAUUAGCUUGGAUAACAGACAGUGAACUCCUAAUCUUGUACUAUUUUCUUCUUGUGCAGUUUUGGUUCUUUUGUUCAACGUGCCUAAAACGAAUGGCAAGAAAAACUUUUCGUUGGUGUUCUAAAAGCAGUAGAAAUCAUUUUCCAGAAAGAAAGUAUACAUAAAAAUUGGAAAGCUUUUACUGCCAAAGGAUGAAAGAAAAGCGUGUUAUAGGGGGUUUGGUUUUGAGACAUUUGCUGAUGAAAUUUCAGCAGUGUAUGCCUCUCAGAAAUUACAUAGGAUACUUAGGCAGAAGCUGUGUCAGUGGAUGUUAUCAAGAAAUGUAAUUAAAUCCUCUACUGCUAAUACUUCUGGUAAUUUCAGCAAUGCCUAUUGUUGGUAAUGGCCAUGUUCUUGGGCCCAAUAGGCACCCAGUAUCAAAUGAAAUAUCCUCAUAACUUCCUUAUGCAUGGUGGUUGGGGCUACUGUCUAUCACAUACAGUCUCAAAGAAACUCAAGAAUCCAUGGAGGAGAGAUCAAAACAAGGGCAAGAAUAGUGAAGAGUGUGAGAAAAGAUGUCAAGUAUAGGAUAACAUUUAAAAGGAAGUGGUUGCAACUCUAUCCUAAACAGAUUUCUCUGUUCUAACAGGGGUGUACCUCAUUCCAUCCUUCAUGAAUUCUGCUUAAAUGUUUGCUGGUAGCUGGGUUUUUGAUUGGUUUGUUGUAAGUUUGAUUAGCAGUAAUUUAUUUGAAGACUGUGUCUCUGAGUAGAACCAGUUUGGGAUAAUGUGACACUUUUUUUAUCUUGAGUAGUGAGUUUAUGUCAGAUCAGAUGACCGCUGAAGUCUCAGUGUUCAAGUUUUUCUGUUUGUAU